rnacentral:rRNA from 1 species
AGAGUUGAUCCUGGCUUAGGAUGAACGCUAGCGACAGGCUUAACACAUGCAAGUCGAGGGGCAUCACGGGAGUAGCAAUACAACUGGUGGCGACCGGCGCACGGGUGAGUAACGCGUAUGCAACCUACCUAUCAGAGGGGAAUAACCCGGCGAAAGUCGGACUAAUACCGCAUAAAACAGGGGCACCGCAUGGUGAUAUUUGUUAAAGAAAUUCGCUGAUAGAUGGGCAUGCGUUCCAUUAGGUAGUUGGUGAGGUAACGGCUCACCAAGCCGACGAUGGAUAGGGGAACUGAGAGGUUGGUCCCCCACACUGGUACUGAGACACGGACCAGACUCCUACGGGAGGCAGCAGUGAGGAAUAUUGGUCAAUGGGCGGGAGCCUGAACCAGCCAAGUCGCGUGAAGGAAAGAAGGAUCUAUGGUUCGUAAACUUCUUUUGCAGGGGAAUAAAGUGCAGGACGUGUCCUGUUUUGUAUGUACCCUGAGAAUAAGGAUCGGCUAACUCCGUGCCAGCAGCAGC